AGUGAACGCUGGCGGCGUGCUUAACACAUGCAAGUCGAACGGAUGAAAUAAGCUUGCUUAUUUCGUUAGUGGCGCACGGGUGAGUAAUGUAUAGCUAACCUGCCCUUUAGUGGGGGACAACAGUUGGAAACGACUGCUAAUACCCCAUACUCCUUCUUAUCUUAAGAUAAGUUGGGAAAGAUUUAUUGCUAAAGGAUGGGGCUUUAUGGUAUCAGCUAGUUGGUGGGGUAACGGCCUACCAAGGCGAUGACGCCUACCUGGUCUGAGAGGAUGAUCAGGCACACUGGAACUGAGACACGGUCCAGACUCCUACGGGAGGCAGCAGUGGGGAAUAUUGCACAAUGGAGGAAACUUUGAUGCAGCAACGCCGCGUGGAGGAUGACGCAUUUCGGUGUGUAAACUCCUUUUAUAAGGGAAGAUAAUGACGGUACCUUAUGAAUAAGCACCGGCUAACUCCGUGCCAGCAGCCGCGGUAAUAC
rnacentral:rRNA from 1 species